rnacentral:rRNA from 1 species
UACAGAGGAUGCAAGCGUUAUCCGGAAUGAUUGGGCGUAAAGAGUCCGUAGGCGGUUUUUCAAGUCGGUGGUUAAAGAGUGGAGCUUAACUCCAUAGAGGCCAUCGAAACUGAGAGACUAGAGUAAGGUAGGGGUAGAGGGAAUUCUCGGUGUAGCGGUGAAAUGCGUAGAUAUCGGGAAGAACACCGGUGGCGAAGGCGCUCUACUGGACCUAAACUGACGCUGAGGGACGAAAGCUAGGGGAGCGAAAGGG